CAGUUAAAACUUGUUCAAGCCCAAAAGAUGUUCAAAUCACAAAAGAAUUUAAUUUUAUAUACCUUCGUCAUUUUUCUAAUGAUGAUCUCAUCAAAAGAUAUUUUCGUAAAUGCAAAAGCAAUCGAUCAAAAUUUUCAAGUACUGAGCAACGACGAUGGAACUCAUAUCGAUAUUGAAUUCGCACUUGACAUGCAUUUGGACAUCAAAGUGAAUGGACAACAUGUUACUUCAACGACUGAAAUUCCAACGACUUCUACUACUUUUUAUUCUACAACUCCAAGCUAA